AACCAGUGUGUCUGAUAUGUUCAGAAACUGUGGCUUCAAUUAAAAGUGCCAAUGUCAAACGGCAUUAUGAGACAAAACAAAGGUUUUGAACACACAUACCCACUCAAAUCUGAGUGCGAUCACAGAAAGUUGUUAGUAUCAGAGCCCAGUAUGAGACCAGUAAUAAGACCAGUCCACCAGGAUCUUGAGCCACAUGCUCAGUUUGAUGUUACGUAACAAUAAAUUUGUCAAAAGGUUUUUGAAUUGUACUGAAAUAAUUUGAUUUGACAGUCAAGUAUUGAUUACAUGCAGGCUACUUGAUAAUAUAUCACAGUAAAUAGUUAGACAUUAUAAUCUUCUGGACCUUUGCUUCCAAAAAUAUUGUGUAACCGGAACCUCUUUAAAUUUUAGUUGAAUACCCCUGCUUUAGACAAUAUAAUACCUCUAGUAAAUUCCUUAUUAAAAAUACUAUCAGACAAAGACAAGUGCAGCAAGGAGUACUCCUUAGUUGGUCAUGUGAAAUGAAAUCUCUACCUCUAAGCCAUAGGAACUGACAGCUACCAUUUAGACCAGUUUUCACUGACUAAUCAACCAGCCAUGUGGUUGGUAAACCAUUGUGACUAAAUCUCUGUAAUGACGGUGCCAGUGCAGCACUUUUGCUGGCAUCGAGGAACCAAUCCAGGUUACUUCUGUUUCAAACGGUCAAAAAUGACCUUCACUAACAUCACAAUGUACUGCAAAACAGCCUCCUAGGAUAUAAAAUGUUGAAAUCUAUCAUUUUAUCGUAUUAGACUUUUGUGUGAAAUCUGGUCAUGAUUAGUGUAUGAAUUAUUGAGUUCUUGUCACAAAUGUAUAACGUGAGGUCAAAGUGACCUUGACCUUUGACCUACAAGCUCUAAACAGUUCAUCCAUUAGUCAAAGUGGAUAUUGUGCCAAGUGCAGAGCUCAUGAGCAGGUGUGUGAGCAGGAGUGAAAGCAAGUGGGAGCCUGUAGAUUUUGGACAGAGCAGCUUUUUAAAAAAAGGAGGAAGUGUCGCACGAGGUCCCACUCCAAUUUUACUCCAGUAUCGCUUAGACUACGAGCCUGAAGCAUGCCUAAGAUGGAUCCACAAUGCUUUCAGUCAACUGUUACGAGUUGUUGGGUUUUAUUUCUUUGCUUGUAAGGCUCCAGUUUAAGUUACAUGUAGAUUGUUUCCUAUUUGUAGAGUAUGUGGAUGCAGGUCUGAGUGAAAAAUAUAAAUACUUACUGCUCCACUCUGCUAGUGUCCCCUGGUAAGAUGUAGUUAAACCUCUACCAGUGACAAAUACCAGAAUGGGUUAAAACAAUUCUCUAAUUUUUCUAGCAAACUUUUUACUGUUUUAUAGUUCUUAACUGGGAAAGAAAACUCAACCUCGUUCAUAUGUAAAUAUUUAUAAUCUUUCACUUUUAGUCUGGAAUUAUGUAUUUAGCAUACAUUUUUCCAAGCCAUGCAUGAAGUCUUCCAAACCAGUUGUUUUGGGUAUUCAUUCACUCUCUGAGGGGAAAAACAAUACUGGAAAUUGUUUUCAGUUAUGCAUGUCUGCAUUGUUUUAAGUUAUUUUGUGAGUUUGUUUAAAUCAAAUUUCAGUUGAGUAAUUUCAUUUUUAAGGGAGCAGGAAAUGUUUAUAGUUCCUCGUUUUAUUCUCAGCAGUCCUUGAUAUGUUACACGGAUCCUGAGAUUUGAAGUCCCCACCUAGGCCAUGCCCUUCCCCCACCCUACUGUCCACAGCGCGGGAUGCUGCGCGAGAGAUUUUGCUGUUUGUUUUAAGACACCGCGAGCCGUCGGUGUCUGUUGUGCUAUAUGUAACUACGUGCGGAGUUAAUUUGGUGUGCGCCGUAUAGCAAAUCCAGCGCUACUUUUUGAUCACCACACCUGCUCCGUCGGAAGGGACAGACAGAGCUCAUGCGACACAGAAGAGUGGAGCUGCUUUUGGAGCGUCGACUGAAAUGGUAAGUUUUGAGGUAUUACAGUAAAACUCCCAUUAUAAUAUUGUGCUGUUCAGUUCACUGGCGUGCGGUUUGCACGUUGAAUCAACACACGAAUUAUAUGCAAUGUGGGACUGGAACUUUACUAGCUUGAUUAGCUAAUGUUAGCUAACAGCGAUGCUAGCUAGCUAAUUGAAGUGAUGUUAAUACCUGGUCUGCGCAGUUGAAACUAAUCAAAAUGUAUUUUUUGUUAUAUAAAUUAUUUUCGUAGUAGUGUAAUGGACCGAAGGUUAUCUGUUA
ensembl:lncRNA